GAUGAACGCUGGCGGCGUGCCUAAUACAUGCAAGUCGAGCGAACGGACGAGAAGCUUGCUUCUCUGAUGUUAGCGGCGGACGGGUGAGUAACACGUGGAUAACCUACCUAUAAGACUGGGAUAACUUCGGGAAACCGGAGCUAAUACCGGAUGAUAUUUUGAACCGCAUGGUUCAAAAGUGAAAGACGGUCUUGCUGUCACUUAUAGAUGGAUCCGCGCUGCAUUAGCUAGUUGGUAAGGUAACGGCUUACCAAGGCAACGAUGCAAAGCCGACCUGAGAGGGUGAUCGGCCACACUGGAACUGAGACACGGUCCAGACUCCUACGGGAGGCAGCAGUAGGGAAUCUUCCGCAAUGGGCGAAAGCCUGACGGAGCAACGCCGCGUGAGUGAUGAAGGUCUUCGGAUCGUAAAACUCUGUUAUUAGGGAAGAACAUAUGUGUAAGUAACUGUGCACAUCUUGACGGUACCUAAUCAGAAAGCCACGGCUAACUACGUG
rnacentral:rRNA from 1 species